AUUGAACGCUGGCGGCAUGCUUUACACAUGCAAGUCGAACGGUAGAGGGGGCAACCCCUUGAGAGUGGCGAACGGGUGAGUAAUGCAUCGGAACGUGCCCAGUCGUGGGGGAUAACGCAGCGAAAGCUGUGCUAAUACCGCAUACGAUCUCUGGAUGAAAGCGGGGGACCGCAAGGCCUCGCGCGAUUGGAGCGGCCGAUGUCAGAUUAGGUAGUUGGUGGGGUAAAGACUCACCAAGCCAACGAUCUGUAGCUGGUCUGAGAGGACGACCAGCCACACUGGGACUGAGACACGGCCCAGACUCCUACGGGGGGCAGCAGUGGGGAAUUUUGGACAAUGGGCGCAAGCCUGAUCCAGCAAUGCCGCGUGAAGGAAGAAGGCCUUCGGGUUGUAAACUGCUUUUGUACGGAACGAAACGGUCUGGGUUAAUACCCUGGGCUAAUGACGGUACCGUAAGAAUAAGCACCGGCUAACUACGUGCCAGCCGCCGCCGUAACAC
rnacentral:rRNA from 1 species